CAACCUGUGCACAACGGUGCGAGAAAGAGAAGGCCGAGGUGAUGGAAGCCGAUAGCUUCCACAGCCUCAGACUUUCCAUUGCCCGGGUCUUCGAGCUCCUCUUUCCUCGACCACCACUGCCUUCUUUCUGGAACAAAUUAGUGUGGCAUGGAGGCAAUUCAGGGCAUUCGUCGUUGUUCCAAUGGUGAAGGCCGCCGUGGUUAUGUGCUUGAUCAUGUCGACAAUGGUGCUCGUUGAGAAGCUCUUCAUGGGCUUGGUUAGCCUGUACGCCAAGGUGUUUCAUCGGAGACCGGAGAGGAUGUACAAGUGUGAUCCCAUUGCUCGGGAUGAAGAGCUUGUCACCUUAGCCUAUCCCAUGGUCCUCGUCCAAAUUCCCAUGUACAAUGAGAAAGAGGUGUACCGGUUGUCCAUAGGAGCUGCCUGCAAUCUCAUAUGGCCGGAUGAUCGAAUCAUAGUACAAGUACUGGAUGAUUCCACUGAUCCAGUUGUCAAGGACUUGGUGAAAAAGGAAUGCGAAAAAUGGUUCAAAAAGGGAAAGAAUAUAACAUACGAGACGAGGGACAACAGGAACGGAUACAAAGCUGGCGCUUUAAAAGUAGGAAUGAAGUAUAGCUACGUGGAGACUUGCGAGUAUAUUGCCAUGUUUGAUGCCGACUUCCAACCUUCACCGGACUUUCUCAUGAGAACUGUUCCAUUUCUUGUGCAUAAUCCUGAUAUUGCUCUCGUGCAAGCUCGAUGGCAGUUUGUGAAUGCCAACGAGUGCUUGAUGACAAGAAUUCAAGAGAUGUCAAUGGAUUACCACUUCAAGGUGGAGCAGGAAUCUGGGUCUUCAACCUGUGCAUUUUUUGGUUAUAAUGGGACUGCUGGAGUGUGGAGAAUUCAAGCUAUUAAUGAUGCAGGAGGUUGGAAGGAUCGAACUACUGUAGAAGACAUGGAUUUAGCAGUUAGAGCAGGUCUUGGAGGCUGGAAAUUUGUAUAUGUUGGUAAUGUUAAGGUUAAAAGUGAGUUACCCAGCACUUUCAAGGCUUAUCGUUAUCAGCAACAUCGUUGGGCUUGUGGGCCAGCAGUUCUAGUUCGGAAAAUGUUUUGGGAUAUUGUUAAGGCCAAGAAAGUAUCUAUCUGGAAAAAACUACAUGUGAUCUACAACUUUUUCCUUGCACGGAGGAUUGUAUCGCAUAUUGUCACUUUCUUGUUUUAUUGUGUGGUGAUCCCUUUAUCAGCUUUCUUCCCUGAAGUUGAAAUUCCAAAGUGGGGAGUGGUUUACGUCCCAACAACAAUUACCCUUCUCAACUCAGUUGGAACUCCAAGUGCUGCAAGUGGAUUGGGGUGGGUAGAAUUCCAACUUGAUCUAGUCCAGACCCAGGCUACUUGCAGGUCCCAUAUUUUGAUCCAGGUCCAACUCAUCACUCAAUUUGUCUGGAUCAAAUUUUAUCUCUUUCUAGACAAGGUUUGGUUGAUUGACUCCAAGGGCUACACCCUCGAGUUUCUAAUGGAUCUUCCCUGCUCAGGUUUAAGUCAAUUUGGGUACAGGUCAGAUCCAAGCCUACUCAACCUGCUUGCAGCCAUAAGAAUAAUGCAUGUAGCAGAUUUGGACUUAGUUUCUCACAACAAAAUGGGUCUUUUCCUUCCAUUACAUGAGGAAGUUAUUAAUAUCAUGGAUGCUCAUGCUUCAAUAUUCGAAACUUGAUAGAGGGAGUUAAAAUCUGCUACAGUUAGAGCUAUCAACACUUCCAUGUCAUACAAUAUAUCUCAUGCUUAGCCAGCAGAAGUUGGUCUGUCGGUUGACACUACUUUCCUCAGAGCCUGUCCUGUGGAAGGGAUUUGAGCUCAACUCAGAAUGCUCUUUCCAUCUAAUUAUCUUCUGGGUCUUAUUUGAGAAUGUCAUGUCCCUGCACCGGUGUAAAGCUGUCCUCAUUGGCUUAUUAGAAGCAGGGAGAGCUAAUGAAUGGGUUGUUACAGAAAAAUUAGGAGAUAUGUUGAAGACAAAGCCAAACAUUAGUGUCACGCAAAAAAUUCGAUUCAAGUUCUGGGACAGAUUUCACCUCCUGGAGCUUGGGCUUGCAGUAUUCCUCAUGAUUUCUGCAUGCUAUGAUUGUAUCUACCGACGAGAUUACUAUUUUAUCUACAUCUUCCCUCAAUCCAUCACAUUUUUUAUCAUGGGCUUUGGUUAUGUGGGCACCAUUAUCCCCAGUUAGAUAUAGAAGCC